UACGUAGGGCGCAAGCGUUGUCCGGAAUUAUUGGGCGUAAAGAGCUCGUAGGCGGUCUGUCACGUCUGCCGUGAAAACCCGAGGCUUAACCUCGUGGCUUGCGGUGGAUACGGGCAGACUAGAGGUAGGUAGGGGAGAACGGAAUUCCCGGUGUAGCGGUGAAAUGCGCAGAUAUCGGGAGGAACACCGGUGGCGAAGGCGGCUUGCUGGGCCAGUUCUGACGCUGAGGAGCGAAAGCGUGGGGAGCGAACAGG
rnacentral:rRNA from 1 species